rnacentral:lncRNA from 10 species
AUUCUCCUGCUUCAGCCUCCCGAGUAGCUGGGACUAUAGGCCCGGCCACCACAACCAGCUAAUUUUUUUUUUUUUUUUUUUUUUUUUUUUAGUAGAGACGGGGUUUCACCAUGUUAGUCAGGAUGGUCUCUAUCUCCUGACCUCGCGAUCCGCCCGCUUCGGCCUCCCAAAGUGCUGGGAUUACAGGUGUGAGCCACUGUGCCCGGCUGAAAGCCUGAUAUAUCUUUCUACCAUAGCAAGAACUAGCAGCACCUUACCCAGUAUGAGACCGACCCAGGUCUGCCUUAAUAUAUAUACCGUAAUAUAUACCUAACAGUUUUUUUUUUUUUUUUGAGAGGGAGUCUCGCUCUGUCGCCCAGGCUGGAGUGCAGUAUCGCGAUAUCGGUUCGCUGCAAGCUCCGCCUCCCGGGGUCACGUCAUUCUCCUGCCUCAGCUUCCGGAGCAGCUGGGACUGCUGGCGCCCGCCACUACGCUCGGCUAAUUUUUUUGUGUUUUUAGUAGAGACGGGCUUUCACCGUGUUGGCCUAGCGGUUCUCCAACUCCUGACCUCAUGAUCCCCCCGCCUCAGCCUCCCAAAGUGCUGGGAUUACAAGCGUGAGCCACCGCGACCCGCCAACACUCUUGACAACAGUGCUGUGCUAAGAACUUGGGGGACUUCAAAAAGUUCACCAGUUCCUGUGUCCAUGGGUGAAAAGAUUUUCUACAUCUUUCCUUGACUAGAAACAGAAGUCCUGAAACAAGGUACACCUUCUUGAGGCUUACUUGAAUAUAACGUCAGGAGGCCAGAGGCUUUGUCCUGCCUAAUGUGUUAUUUCCACACUGAAUAAAAGCACCUGAGUCCUGGCAUAUGGCAAGGGAGUAAAGCCAAACUUUUUACCACAUGGCAAAAAUAAUUGUAUUUUGCAACAGACUAAAAGCUUAAUGCUAUACAGACUUUGGGUUGGUGGAGUUACUUGAGGAUUUACUCCAGCAAAACAAAAAAAAGAAUGAAAGAAAGAGAAAGAUAAAAAUAUGAAAGAAGCAACAGACCUAUUCCAGAAAUGUAAUGAAAAAAGGCCACGAAGUUUGACAACUAUGUAUUAAAUUUACAAUCAGUCCAAAUUAGACUGGUAGUCAGAUUGAUAUGAGAAGUACAUUUUCAAAAAGAUGUACUAUACCAAAUAAUAUGAGUGCAAAACUCUGGAUGAUUUUAGUAAUAAUGUGAAGACACAUAUUUCUUUUGACAAUUAAAAAAAAGAAAAUGAAUUGGAAACUUCAGGAAACGUCAGAAAAUACAAAAUGCUCUGUAGGAAGUAAUUGUCUAAAUGAGAGGUGAAGCCAGUGGGACUUCCUGGAUUGGAUGGGGACUUGGAGAACUUUUCUGUCUAGCUAAAGGAUUGUAAACACACCAAUCAGUGCUCUGUGUCUAGCUAAAGGAUCGCAAAUGCACCAAUCAGCACUCUGUAAAAAUUCUGUGUCUAGCUAAAGGUUUGUAAAUGCACCAAUCAGCAAUCUGUUAGAAUGCACCAAUCAGUGCUCUGUGUCUAGCUAAAGGUUUGUAGAUGCACCAAUCAGCACUCUGUAAAAACGCAUCAAUCAGCGUUCUGUGUCUAGCUAAAGGUUUGUAGACACAUCAAUCAGCACUCAGUAAAAACGCACCAAUCAGCACUCUGUAAAAUGGACCAGUCAGCGCUCUGUAAAAUGGACCAAUCAGCAGGAUGUGGGCGGAGCCAAUAAGGGAAUAAAAGCUGGCCACCAGAGCCAGCCAGUGGCAACCUGCUUGGGUCCCCUUCCACCCUGUGGAAGCUUUAUUCUUUUGCCCUUCACAAUAAAUCUUGCUGCUGCUUACUCUUUGGGUCUACAUUACCUUUAUGAGCUGUAUCGCUCACCAUGAGGGUCUGCGGCUUCACUCCUGAGGUCAGCGAGACCACGAACCCACUGGGAGGAACAAACAACUCCAGAAGCACAACCUUUAAGAGCUGUAACACUCACUGUGAAGGUCUGUGGCUUCACUCCUGAAGUCAGCGAGACCACGAACCCACCAGAAGGAAGAAACUCCGGACACAUCUGAAAUCUGAAGAAACAAACUCUGGACACACCAUCUUUAAGAACUGUAACACUCACUGCGAGGGUCCCCGACUUCAUUCUUAAAGUCAGUGAGACCAAGAACCCACUGGAAGGAACCAAUUCUGGGCACAUAAAUAUGCAGCAAAAUACAAUAUGGUAUGAUUUUGAGCAAUUGAUGAAUAUGUAGAAAAAUUAUUCAAUCCUGAUGUUUGAAAUAUGCUACUUUGAGUAGCAGCCUUGUAGUGACCUAAAUGUAUUUCUGUAGAUAAAAUUGAACUAUGUGGUACUAUAGUGAAUAAUGUGUGUUACAAUAUAAUAGCAUGCACAAUUGUAUAUAUGAAGUUUAGAACACUUCUACAUUUUAAUAUCUGUAAUAUGAUUAUACUCAUAUAUGUGUACUCAGAUUUUAAAACAUAAUAAAAUAUAAAUGUUAUUAUUGUCUUUCUAGGAAGAUGGUGAGGUUUUUUUUUUUUUUUUUUUUUUCAGUCUCACUCCGUCACCCAGACUGGAGUGCGGUGGCAUGAUCUCAGCUCAAUGCAACCUCUGCCUCCUGCGUUCAAGUGAGUCUCAUGCCUCACCCUCCCUAUUAGCUGGGAUUACAGGUGUGUACCACGACACCCGUCUAAUUUUUUGGUAUUUUUAGUAGAGACGGGGUUUCACCAUGUUGGUCAGGCUGGUUUCAAACUCCUGGCCUCAUGUGAUCCAUCCAUCUUGGCCUCCCAAAGUGCUGGGAUUACAGGCAGGGGCCACCGCAUCUGGCCGAUUGUGAG